AGACAGCAGCAGCCACGGUAAUACGGAGGGUGCAAGCGUUAUCCGGAUUUAUUGGGUUUAAAGGGUCCGUAGGCGGAUCUGUAAGUCAGUGGUGAAAUCUCACAGCUUAACUGUGAAACUGCCAUUGAUACUGCAGGUCUUGAGUAAAUUUGAAGUGGCUGGAAUAAGUAGUGUUGCGGUGAAAUGCAUAGAUAUUACUUAGAACACCAAUUGCGAAGGCAGGUCACUAAGAUUUAACUGACGCUGAUGGACGAAAGCGUGGGGAGCGAACAGGAUUAGAUACCCCGGUAGUCCCUGUCUCUUAUAA
rnacentral:rRNA from 1 species